rfam:Planktothrix serta PCC 8927 isolate BBR_PRJEB10992 genome assembly, scaffold: BBR_A_PL8927_scaffold51
GUCAGCACCCCGCUCUGAAGAGACGGGGCUUCAUGCCUCUCCUUUGGAUAGCUCGUACCCGCCUUAGCCUUAACGGGCUACGUUAUCGGGAAGCGUUAAAGUUCUUACCUUGGGAUGCGUAGCUAGUCCCAAGCUCUAAAACUUGAAAGUUAAACAGUUUUACGAGGGGUAAGACCGUGAUGACCGAGAAAGUACCGACCGAUAACAUUGGUUGGCGAAGCUAACAUUAC